UAGUACGAAUUUGAUACGAAUAUGGUACCUGAUACGCGUAUCAAAUGCACGAUGUAAACUAAGCCAAUGAAGUUUUAGAUAAACGAGCUCUGGUGAGAUCUUACAAAGACAAAGAACCAAAUUUGUCCCUCGAUGAGAUUGUGGAAAUCUUCGACGCUUGCGAUCCCCUGCGGGAACUCCACCCUGUGGAAGAUUCAACUCUUUUUCUGAGGUCGGAUUAUCCAUAUUACUUUCAACUUGCGUUAGGCAGAGUUUAUAAAGGCAAUUCUGUUCGCUUCCAGAUCGUUGUCUUGUGCGGUCAAGAUGGGUUCGUUCUCGUUGGAGAUUAUAACCUCUUGGACUGCAGUGGUCGGAAACUGCUCUGCUUGGUUCUGAUUCUGAUCCAUAGAAGGAGAUGGAUCCAAAAAGUAUGUCUCUUUACUCAGAACAUCUCUGGUUGGAGAGCCCUGAGUGCGUUUCUUACUUGAUCUACUUUCUUUGUUUGAUACAGCUCUAACACUUUUACUCAUGCUUACAGAAGAGGAUUUGCUGGCGUUUCUGGUUUCUUGUUUCGACAUUGCGAACAUCAGAGACAAUUGGAAGCUUUUUUAAAAACCCAAGACAAAUAUUCAAGCCUGACUACCCUUGUCAAUCCCACUCUUAGUGCCUUUUAGGUUAAAUUCUAAUUUGAAUAAAUCACUACAUGAAAAAAACAAAAAAAAA